GUAAACACACCCCUGCCAUCAUCAAGGGCCAUCGCCACUUAAGCUACGGAGGAUCCGUCCCACCUGAGAACAUCACCAUUCAACAGUUUUAUGACCUUACACCUACCAAGAAAAGUAACGUCCGCCUCAACGACCAGCUUAUACCAAAACCAACGGACAUCAACAUCGC